UACGAAGGGGGCUAGCGUUGUUCGGAAUCACUGGGCGUAAAGGGCGCGUAGGCGGCCGUUCAAGUCGGGGGUGAAAGCCUGUGGCUCAACCACAGAAUUGCCUUCGAUACUGUUUGGCUUGAGACCGGAAGAGGUGAGUGGAACUGCGAGUGUAGAGGUGAAAUUCGUAGAUAUUCGCAAGAACACCAGUGGCGAAGGCGGCUGACUGGUCCGGUUCUGACGCUGAGGCGCGAAAGCGUGGGGAGCAAACAGG
rnacentral:rRNA from 1 species